CCUACGGGAGGCAGCAGUGGGGAAUUUUGGACAAUGGGCGAAAGCCUGAUCCAGCGACGCCGCGUGGAGGACGAAGGUCUUCGGAUUGUAAACUCCUUUUGCAGGGGACGAAAAAAAUGACGGUACUCUGCGAAUAAGCCACGGCUAACUACGUGCCAGCAGCCGCGGUAAUACGUAGGUGGCGAGCGUUACUCGGAAUUACUGGGCGUAAAGGGUGUGUAGGCGGCCGAGCAAGUCGAAGAUGAAAUCCCAGGGCUCAACCCUGGAAUUGUCUUCGAUACUGCUGGGCUUGAGGGUAGUGGAGGAGAGUGGAAUCCCCAGUGUAGGAGUAAAAUCCGUAGAUAUUGGGAGGAACACCCGUGGCGAAGGCGGCUUCCUGGCCAUGGCCUGACGCUGAGGGGCGAAAGCCAGGGGAGCGAACGGGAUUAGAUACCCCGGUAGU
rnacentral:rRNA from 1 species